rnacentral:rRNA from 1 species
AUUGAACGCUGGCGGCAGGCCUAACACAUGCAAGUCGAACGCGUGGCGGACGGGUGAGUAAUGUCUGGGAAACUGCCCGCUGGCGGGGGAUAUCCCCUGGAAACGGUAUCUAAUACCGCAUACCCCCUGAUGUGCCCAGAUGGGAUUAGCUUGUAGGUGAGGUAACGGCUCACCCCGGCGACGAUCGCUAGCUGGUCUGAGAGGAUGACCAGCCACACGGGAACGGAGACACGGGCCAGACUCCUACGGGAGGCAGCAGUGGGGAAUAUUGCACAAUGGGCGCAAGCCUGAUGCAGCCAUGCCGCGUGUAUGAAGAAGGCCUUCGGGUUGUAAAGUACUUUCAGCGGGGAGGCGUUACCCGCAGAAGAAGCACCGGCUAACUCCGUGCCAGCCGCCGCGGUAAUAC